rnacentral:rRNA from 1 species
CAUUAAAGAGUUCUAUAACUCCCAAACCCAUGUGAACAUACCUAACGUUGCCUCGGCAGGUCGCACCUACCUUGUAGCACCCUACCCUGUAGGGCCUACCCGGGAGGUGCGGGUAAGCCUGCCGGCGGCCCACCAAACUCUGUUUGAUAUUGAAUUCUGAACCUAUAACUAAAUAAGUUAAAACUUUCAACAACGGAUCUCUUGGUUCUGGCAUCGAUGAAGAACGCAGCGAAAUGCGAUAAGUAAUGUGAAUUGCAGAAUUCAGUGAAUCAUCGAAUCUUUGAACGCAUAUUGCGCCCAUUAGUAUUCUAGUGGGCAGGACCGUUCGAGCGUCAUUUCAACCCUUAAGCCUUCGUUGCUCAGUGUUGGGAGCCUACGGCAACGUAGCUCCUCAAAGUUAGUGGCGGAGUUGGUUCACACUCUAGACGUAGUAAUUUUUUAUCUCGCCUAUUAGUUGGACUAAUCCCCUGCCGUAAAACCCCCAAUUUAUAUCAAGGUUGACCUCGAAUCGGUUCAGACAAACUCGCUAAAUUGAAGCAUCUUAGUCAGCGAAGGAAAAGAAACCAACAGGGAUUGCCCUAGUAACGGCGAGUGAAGCGGCAGCAGCUCAAAUUUGAAAUCUGGCCCUCGGGUCCGAGUUGUAAUUUGUAGAGGAUGCUUUUGGCGCGGUGCCUUCCGAGUUCCCUGGAACGGGACGCCUUAGAGGGUGAGAGCCCCGUACGGUUGGACACCAAGCCUCUGUAAAGCUCCUUCGACGAGUCGAGUAGCUUGGGAAUGCUGCUCUAAAUGGGAGG